GACGAACGCUGGCGGCGUGCUUAACACAUGCAAGUCGAACGGAAAGGCCCCUUCGGGGGUCCUCGAGUGGCGCACAGGUGAGUAACACGUGAGUAACCUGCCCUUGACUUCGGGAUAACUUCAGGAAACUGGGGCUAAUACCGGAUAGGAAUCCUUGCUGCAUGGCGGGGGUUGGAAAGCUUCGGCGGUUUUGGGUGGACUCGCGGCUUAUCAGCUUGUUGGUGGGGUAGUGGCUUACCAAGGCUUUGACGGGUAGCCGGCCUGAGAGGGCGACCGGCCACAUUGGGACUGAGAGACGGCCCAGACUCCUACGGGAGGCAGCAGUGGGGAAGAUUGCACAAUGGGCGGAGGCCUGAUGCAGCAACGCCGCGUGCGGGAUGACGGCCUUAGGGUUGUAAACCGCUUUCAGCAGGGGCGAAGCUUGUGGUGACGGUACCUGCAGAAGAAGCACCGGCUAACUACGUG
rnacentral:rRNA from 1 species